UUCCGGUUGAUCCUGCCGGACCUGACUGCUAUCGGAUUGAUACUAAGCCAUGCGAGUCAUUGUAGCAAUACAAGGCAGACGGCUCAGUAACGCGUAGUCAACCUAACCUAUGGACGGGAAUAACCUCGGGAAACUGAGAAUAAUGCCCGAUAGAACACUAUACCUGGAAUGGUUUGUGUUCCAAAUGAUUUAUCGCCGUAGGAUGGGACUGCGGCCUAUCAGUUUGUUGGUGAGGUAAUGGCCCACCAAGACUAUUACAGGUACGGGCUCUGAGAGGAGUAGCCCGGAGAUGGGUACUGAGACACGGACCCAGGCCCUAUGGGGCGCAGCAGGCGAGAAAACUUUGCAAUGUGCGAAAGCACGACAAGGUUAAUCCGAGUGGUUUCUGCUAAAGGAACCUUUUGUCAGUCAUAGAACCACUGACGAAUAAGGGGUGGGCAAGUUCUGGUGUCAGCCGCCGCGGUAAAACCAGCACCUCAAGUGGUCAGGAUGAUUAUUGGGCCUAAAGCAUCCGUAGCCUGCUCUGUAAGUUUUCGGUUAAAUCUGUACGCUCAACGUACAGGCUGCCGGGAAUACUGCAUAGCUAGGGAGUGGGAGAGGUAGACGGUACUCGGGAGGAAGUGGUAAAAUGCUUUGAUCUUUCGAUGACCACCUGUGGCGAAGGCGGUCUACCAGAACACAUCCGACGGUGAGGGAUGAAAGCUGGGGGAGCAAACCGGAUUAGAUACCCGGGUAGUCCCAGCUGUAAACUAUGCAAACUCAAUGAUGCAUUGGGCUUUGAGGCCAAUGCAGUGUUGCAGGGAAGCCGUUAAGUUUGCCGCCUGGGAAGUACGUACGCAAGUAUGAAACUUAAAGGAAUUGGCGGGGGAGCACCACAAGGGGUGAAGCCUGCGGUUCAAUUGGAGUCAACGCCGGAA
rnacentral:rRNA from 1 species